CAAUGACGGCGAGGAUACAACCGCUCAAGGUGGGCGGCUCGGAGAAUAUUACCUUUUGCGGGAAAAACGGAUCACGGGUGCACCGCAUCCUUUGCGUCGGAGAGAGCGCCACCUCGGCACCGGAGAAAAGGUUGAUGAUCCGUAACUGUUAAUCAUCCAAGAAGGCAGCCCAGCCACCACCGUGGCUGCCACCGACGGCCUCGCUUGGGAACGGGAAGCGCGGCAGGACAGCACCGUCCGCGAGGCCGUACACGUGCUUCUCCUUUUCGCCAGGGGCGGAGCUAAGGGGGGACGAGCGGGGGCCACGAUCGAGAGAAUUCUCCUGAAUCGAUAGGCGCCGAUACACACGCACGGCACGCUCGCUGCGUGUAGCCGCCGGAAAGUUCGACCAGGGCAUCCGCACAACGCAUCAGGAAAAGCGCCGAUGGGAAAAUAGUCCUGGAAAUGUCUGACGACGAAAAGGAUUUCAUUAUUUGCAAGUACUGCGAAGACGAGCGCGGCCUGUGCGAUAGAAUCUUCCUAGAUGAUGAUAGGCGCUUCAGCAUCAGGCUGGACGAGAACUUCAAAGUGGAUACCCGUAUCCCCUGCCAUGCAAGAGUUUUUGUCUUGGAUAAGAUAGGUUUCAGUCGUACUAUG